rnacentral:rRNA from 1 species
UGGCUCCUACGGGAGGCAGCAGUAGGGAAUCUUCGGCAAUGGGCGAAAGCCUGACCGAGCAACGCCGCGUGAAUGAAGAAGGCCUUCGGGUUGUAAAAUUCUGUUAUAAGGGAAGAAAGGUGAUAGGAGGAAAUGACUAUCAAUUGACGGUACCUGCAAAGGAAGCACCGGCUAACUCCGUGCCAGCAGCCGCGGUAAUACGGAGGGUGCGAGCGUUAAUCGGAAUUACUGGGCGUAAAGCGCUCGUAGGCGGUAUGUCAAGUCAAGGGUGAAAUCCCCGCGCUCAACGUGGGAACUGCCUUUGA